rnacentral:rRNA from 4 species
UUAAAUUGAAGAGUUUGAUCAUGGCUCAGAUUGAACGCUGGCGGCAGGCCUAACACAUGCAAGUCGAGCGGAAACGA